UGCCUACGGGAGGCAGCAGUGAGGAAUAUUGGUCAAUGGACGAGAGUCUGAACCAGCCAAGUAGCGUGAAGGAUGACUGCCCUAUGGGUUGUAAACUUCUUUUAUAAAGGAAUAAAACGAGGCACGUGUGCCUUUUUGCAUGUACUUUAUGAAUAAGGAUCGGCUAACUCCGUGCCAGCAGCCGCGGUAAUACGGAGGAUCCGAGCGUUAUCCGGAUUUAUUGGGUUUAAAGGGUGCGUAGGCGGAAUGCCAAGUCAGCGGUAAAAUCGCGGGGCUCAACCUCGCUCCGCCGUUGAAACUGGCGU
rnacentral:rRNA from 1 species